UUGAAGAACAAAGACUUCAAGAGGACAGGUA
rnacentral:piRNA from 1 species